CACGUAGGGCGCAAGCGUUGUCCGGAAUUAUUGGGCGUAAAGAGCUCGUAGGCGGUCUGUUGCGUCUGCUGUGAAAACUCGGGGCUUAACCCCGAGCCUGCAGUGGAUACGGGCAGACUAGAGGUAGGUAGGGGAGAAUGGAAUUCCCGGUGUAGCGGUGAAAUGCGCAGAUAUCGGGAGGAACACCGGUGGCGAAGGCGGGUCUCUGGGCCGAUAUUGACGCUGAGGAGCGAAAGCGUGGGGAGCGAACAGG
rnacentral:rRNA from 1 species